GCGGCAGGAAGGGUUCCCCUCAUCCCCGUCUCCAGCAAGGCGCUCAGCGGAUCCUUUGCCUAAAUUCAGGGGGCAGCAGACACUGACCACUUUUGCCUAGUCUCAUGUAAUUUGAUUCUAAGCUCCUUUUGCCCCCACCACGCAGCUCCAUGGAAACCCAUCACUUUCCACGCCGGCCCUUGUCAGCAGAGGAAUGAGUAAAUGAGGAGUGAGCAAAAAGCUUUAGCUGCACAUCUAGCAUCAGCAUGAACUGAAAAAGCAACAGAAGACAACAGGGGGGAAAAUGGAUCCAGGAUCAGGAGAAGCAAGUGUAGAAGUGAUUGAAAACUGAUCAAGGAAAUGAAGUCAAGUAAAACAAGUGAGGGUACAGAGAAGAUCAUGGGAUUUUACUUCCAAAGCUACAAAUAGAUAUGCCCAUCAUAGAAGAGCAGCAAGAGAUAAUAAUGUUCUAAGUGUCUUUGGGCUUGACCUUGAAAACAAAUACCUCUUUUUGUUUUGCUGAGUAUUCAGAUAUAAAUUGUGUGUUUAUCAGUGGAGACAGUCAUACAUUAAAGAGAUUGCUCAUUUUCUGUUUCUCAAAGCUCCAGGAUGACAUUGAUUGAAAGUCAUUUUGAUAUCUUUUAUUAUCCUGUUAAUUUUUGCCUAAUUUUUCCUAUGCCUUCAUGAAAAGAUUUUGUUAGAAAUUUAUUUAUUUUAUUUAAGAAAAAUGAGUAAAAUAAGUAAAGCAGAAAAAAAUGGUGAUUGUAAGAAAAUAUGCUACAUCAUAUAAAAUAUAUUUUUAUCAAUACAAAUAAUGAAGGGCAUAUGUAUAAUGAAGAUAAGUAAAAGCCCCUUUAAGAAAGUAAAUGCCAUAAGUUAAGGAGUGUUGCAGUCAAGUUUUCAGUGAAAUAUAUGUAUGUUCAAUUUAGUAAAAAGUGAAAGUGCAAUUAAAUCUAUUUUGUACAAAGUUUCAUAGAAAUACUAAAUUCAGUUG
rnacentral:lncRNA from 1 species